GGUGGAUUCAAGGGGCUGCUGCCAUGUCGAAUAUGGGAAUGUUUGUGGCUGAGAUGAGCAGCGAUUCUUUCCAACUUCUUGGAAUGGCAGAACGUGGCAUGUUGCCUGAGUUCUUCAGUAAACGGUCUCGUCAUGGGACACCAUUGAUUGGGAUACUAUUCUCAGCCUCAGGUGUUGUUUUGCUUUCAUGGUUAAGCUUCCAAGAAAUUGUAGCGGCAGAGAACUUCUU
rnacentral:misc_RNA from 1 species